GAAAUGCGAUAAGUAGUGUGAAUUGCAGAAUUCAGAGAAUCAUCGAAUCUUUGAACGCACAUUGCGCCCCUUGGUAUUCCAUGGGGCAUGCCUGUUCGAGCGUCAUUUGUACCCUCAAGCUCUGCUUGGUGUUGGGUGUUUGUCCCCGUCUCCGCGCGUGGACUCGCCCCAAAGUGAUUGGCAGCCGGCGUACUGGUCCCGGAGCGCAGCACAUGUCGCGCAAACGAGUGCCUUGGUACGGCGGCGUCCAUAAGCCCCUCUCUCACGCUCUUGACCUCGGAUCAGGUAGGGAUACCCGCUGAACUUAAGC
rnacentral:misc_RNA from 1 species